AAGCAUGGACCACAAGGACAAGGA
rnacentral:piRNA from 1 species